GCAAACUUGGUCAUUUAGAGGAAGUAAAAGUCGUAACAAGGUAACCGUAGGUGAACCUGCGGUUGGAUCAUUAACAAUUAAUAGAGAGUCUAUAAAGACUUUUCUAGACAUUUUGUGAAUUGUUUAUCGUCUCUGGCGAGUUUUUAACGCUCGCCGAUUAUUAAACUAUGUAUAAAAUAUUUUGCCUAAAGAGUAUUUAUUAUUAAAUGAUAAAACAACUUUUAACAAUGGAUCUCUAGGCUCUCGCAUCGAUGAAGAACGCAGC
rnacentral:misc_RNA from 1 species